GGGAGGGGGAGGGGAAAGAACGAGUCCCGGGCGCGGCGGAAGCAUUCGGAGGCCCGCGAGGGAGGUGGAGGGGGGGGCUCGUGAGAGAGAGCCGAAGAGCUCGUUUAGCGAGCGGGAAAACGCGGCUCGGAGCUGGGAACAGCCUCCCGCCCUCCCCCCUCUCCGCUCCCUCGCCGGGGGCGCUUCUCAGCGAGUUUCAGAGACGCCAAGCCCAGCCGAGGCAGCGAGCGAGCGAGCUCCGGUGACGAGCCUGCCCUCCUCUUCGCCCAGAGCCAGGGGGAGGCGGCCUCGUUCCUCCUAGCCACGAGCCCCAGGGUGGGCCGCUUCCAGGCAGCCCUCCCCGCACCCCGCGUGCCUCCGCUUUCGGGCAAGGAGGCCUCGCCUCAGAGGGCCACUUUCCCUGACGCGCGUGGAAAUAAACGAGCUUAUCUGCAGCUCGCCACGGUGGACCCGCGGGCUGUUUUACACCCGCCUCGGGGAUAUUUCACUUCGCCUGGAGUAGUUUUAAUGAUAGUUUAUUUUUUUAAAAAAAAUAAUAAUAAAAAUGACCCCCUCCCCCAACGCAGGCAUUCACUCGCGGAACACCUGAUCGCAGAGUGCAAACAUUGGCUUAACGUCAGGGUUUGCCUCACAGAUUGACUGAAACAAACGCGUUUUUCCUCCCCAGGAGGAGGACGUUUCACAUGGCCGGAGCUUCUCUGGAAAUUUGACCAGAUACAAAUGAGGAUAAGCUGCUGCAGCUUUACUCCAUGUAGAAAAAACGAUAGUAGGAAACUGAAGUUAAAGAGAAACUACUGUAUUCUCUGAAUUUGGUUUUCAGGAUACAUGGAUAAAUCGCAUUCUGGUGUGAGAGAGAAGUUCCCUGAGGAUGGGGUCCAGCACAAAUCCAAACGCUCGGAAGACUAAGUGACCGACCCAGAUUGUGAAUGCUACUAUAUGGAUAAAGUACAGGUAGUCCUCCACUUACGACCACAAUUGGGACUAGAAUUUUCAUUGCUAAUCAAGGCAGCUGCGAAGUGAGCCAUGCCCAAGUUCACAGCCUUUUUUCUUGUGGUUGUUAAGCGAAUCACUGCAGUUAAAACGAAUCGUGGCUGUUAAGCAAAUCCGGCUUAGCCCACUGACUUUUUUUGUCAGAAGACAGCUGGGAAGGUUGCUGAUGACAUGACCCUGGGACACUGCAGUCGUCAUAAACACAGGCUGGUUGCCAACUCCCAACUUUUGAUCAUGUGAUUCUGGGGAUGUUGCAAAGAUUGAAACUGCAAAGACUGGUUGUAAAUAACUUUCAGUUGCUAAAUAAAUGGCUGUAAGUGGAAGACCACCUGUACUGUUAAGUGUGCCCAGCUGUACUUGCACUUGCAUGUAACAAAGCAUGUAUGUGCCGUGACAACUGUCUCAAUGAAGUAGCCUUCAUCUCAUCCUUUGUAUUUUGAGUAUUCCCAUUGAAUCCUCUUAUUAUUAUACCAUGCAAGAGCAAACGUCAACUUGCAUAAAAUAGGUUAGGCUUGAUCACCUGUUAUCUUGGAGGGUCAUGAGGGCCUGGAAUAGGCAGUAGAGGCAGGAUAGCAAGGGGUUUAGCAAAUUUCAUAUCAAGACUGGAUGGAGAACACUAAUUCUUUAGUAGAAAAGUGCACUAAGAGAGUUGCAGCUUCAUCUAUCUCUUUCUGUUUCUCUUGUUUUGAAGUUAUGUAAACAUUUUGGAAGAAAGAUAUGUUAUUCUGCAUGCUUAGAUGGAGAUCUGAUUUAUGGGAAUUUUUAUUAACAAAAUGCACCAGUAAGGGCACAGAGGUCAAACUUGAUUUUGUCACGUGACAUAUUGUGAUGGUUUUUUACCUUUGCAGAGCUGGGGUGAGCUUGGCCUGUAUGUGAUGCAUCUGCUCUGCAGGCUGUCAGUUUGACAGGCCUGAAUAAGGGAGACUGUUGUUGUUGUGUCCCAGGCCCAAGUAGGUAGUAGUAGACGCACUCAGUUCAAAAACAAACAGACUUUAUUAGAACAGCUGAAAAUUAACUCAUUCUCAGCGUGGUCCAAACUAAAUCAAAGCAAAUUCUUCCUAACACAAUUCUUCAGUCUUAUCAGCAACCUUGGUCUAAGUAGGCAAACUGCCAAAGGCUUUUCUUGGCAAAAGUUCAAAAGCAGAAGAUGCCGACAAGAAAUAAAUGCAGCAAGACAAGGAGCAAUUCUAUCAACGUUUUCCGGCAAAGAGCCCAAACGUCGUUGCUGGUCUUUUAAGCCUUAUGGGAGGGGCCAAUCAUCUCUUGGCCCUACUCCCAAGUCGUCCUCUUUGCUUUAGCUGCUCUUGCUUUCUGGCAGAUCUUCUCAUGCAUACAUUAGGAACAGGCUCCUCCUGUUCCUCUGCCUCACUACUGUCAGCCUCUGGAGGCUCCGGAGUCCGCAUGUCACUCCCAGAUGGCCCUGGCCCAGGGGUGAAAUGUUCCCAAUUCGGACCGGAUCAUUUGAUCCGGUAGUGAUGGCGGCGGGUGGUUCGGAGAACCGGUAGCAAAAGUCCCUGCUCCCCCUUCCCCCUGCAUGCCCAGCUGAGCCAUGCGAUCAUCAGAGGUUUUUUUUACUUUUAAAAGCAUUUUUUCUUUGGCCGAAAAAAUACUUUUAAAAGUAAAAAAAAAAAAAAGUUGGCCACGCCCACCCAGUCACAUUACACUCCCCCACCAAGCCACGCCCACAGAACCAGUAGUAACAGAUUUUACAUCUCACUGGCCCCACCUCUGCCUCAACGCAGAGCCCUCAUCCGGGCCUUCCCCAGCCUCCAGGACUGGCCCAUGUUCUUUCUCAGCCUCAUCGCUGUCCGACUCGGUUGCCAGCUCCGCAGGCAGCUGGCGGACCACAACAGUUGUAUACCAUAUGUGCAUGGUUGAAAGUAAUGAUUUAUAACCAUCAAGUGAUGGUCCCCAGGACUGAUGAUGGUUGAAGCUAUUGAAUGGUGAUGUGAGACUCCCAAGUUUUAACAGAAUAGUAUUUGGGAUAGGUGGGUGGUAUGCUGGUAAGAAAAUUAUGGUCCAAAAUAUUGUAAGGACUGAAUUCUGCACCUAAUAAAUAAAUACACUUCCACAAAUAUGAGGCAAGCUAGGAGAAAUAUUAAAUCCAGAUUUUUUUUUAAAAAAAGUUAAAAGUGUUCAUUUUCUGAUCCAGAGCACCAGUUUUGUAAACCUUCAAACAUGUCAUGGUAAAAAAAAAGUGUUGCAUGUGCAUAUUUUGUGUGCUUGUAGUGUCAAAAAGCAAAAUUUAAAUUAACCAGCCACAUAGUUUUGCUCUUUAAAAUUCAGAAUAUUUUCCAAGUCUGCUCUUGGUCCUAUAUUUACUGUUCUACUCAGGUUUAUCAUUCUGAAAUGUCGGAGUUGCCCUUUUUCUCCAGGUUCAUUACUAUACAUGCUUUUGCCCUGAUCUUAUUUCUGAACAACUAACAUCAAGAAUAUUUAGGAGGCCACAAAACCAAUAUAUUACAGCUUUUUUUAAAAAAAGGAGUUUCACAUUUGGCCCAAGAUCUCUUCUAUUACUUUUCUCCCUGCUUUUCCUUUGCAUUCCCUUUUAAAGCCCCUGCAGGUUGAGGUUUAUAUUACAGGAACAGAAUGUGCUGUACCUUAGGU